rnacentral:rRNA from 1 species
UGGGGAAUUUUGCGCAAUGGGCGAAAGCCUGACGCAGCAACGCCGCGUGUGUGAUGAAGGUCUUCGGAUUGUAAAGCACUUUCGACCGGGACGAAAACCCUCAGCCCAACACGCUGAGGCUUGACGGUACCGGGAGAAGAAGCACCGGCUAACUCUGUGCCAGCAGCCGCGGUAAUACAGAGGGUGCAAGCGUUGUUCGGAAUUAUUGGGCGUAAAGCGCGUGUAGGCGGCUUUGCAAGUCGGGUGUGAAAGCCCUCAGCUCAACUGAGGAAGUGCGCCCGAAACUGCAGAGCUUGAGUGCCGGAGAGGGUGGCGGAAUUCCCCAAGUAGAGGUGAAAUUCGUAGAUAUGGGGAGGAACACCGGUGGCGAAGGCGGCCACCUGGACGGUAACUGACGCUGAGACGCGAAAGCGUGGGGAGCAAACA